CCGAGGAGUGACUAGCUACUGAAUCCUUGGUGUGUCAUCAAGGGUAAAGUAAAGGAAAAUAAUGAUAUUACUUUACUAUUAGUGUCGUCCAAAUACUCGUGCCAGAAGACUCGGUAAGGCGAGAGACGCAAGCGUUAAUCAUCUUGACCAGGCGUAAAGGGUUUGUAGGCUGCUUUAAUAUCCUAUAUGAAAUUUUAUUCAUUAUUAGGAAGAUCAAUUUAAAGAUAGAAUCUAAUGGAGGUUAAAACAAUACUUAAGGUAGGAGUACUAACCGUAAAUAUUAAGUAGAGUGUUAAUGGCGAAGGCAUUUAUCCACUAAAGAUUGACGCUGAUAAACGAAAGUGAGGGCAGAAAAAAGGAUUAGAUACCCUUGUAUUCCUCACUGUCAACGAUGAAUGGUAGUCAAUAAUUAGAAGUAAUUUAUAGACAAUGUAAACACGAAAACCAUUCCGCCUUGUGAGUACGACUGCAAGGUUGAAAACAAAAAAAUUAGUCGGUUUCGGAGCAAACGAAGUGAAGCAUGUUAUUUAAUUAAUAAAUAUCCGC
rnacentral:rRNA from 1 species